AUUGAACGCUGGCGGCAUGCCUUACACAUGCAAGUCGAACGGCAGCACGGGUGCUUGCACCUGGUGGCGAGUGGCGAACGGGUGAGUAAUACAUCGGAACAUGUCCUGUAGUGGGGGAUAGCCCGGCGAAAGCCGGAUUAAUACCGCAUACGAACUACGGAUGAAAGCGGGGGCCCUUCGGGCCUCGCGCUAUAGGGUUGGCCGAUGGCUGAUUAGCUAGUUGGUGGGGUAAAGGCCUACCAAGGCGACGAUCAGUAGAUGGUCUGAGAGGACGACCAGCCACACUGGGACUGAGACACGGCCCAGACUCCUACGGGAGGCAGCAGUGGGGAAUUUUGGACAAUGGGCGAAAGCCUGAUCCAGCAAUGCCGCGUGUGUGAAGAAGGCCUUCGGGUUGUAAAGCACUUUUGUCCGGAAAGAAAUCCUUGGCUCUAAUACAGUCGGGGGAUGACGGUACCGGAAGAAUAAGCACCGGCUAACUACGUG
rnacentral:rRNA from 1 species